rnacentral:rRNA from 1 species
AUUGAACGCUGGCGGAAGGCCUAACACAUGCAAGUCGAACGAGUGGCGGACGGGUGAGUAAUGUCUGGGAAACUGCCCGAUGGAGGGGGAUAACUACUGGAAACGGUAGCUAAUACCGCAUACCAUCGGAUGUGCCACGAUGGGAUUAGCUAGUAGGUGGGGUAAUGGCUCACCUAGGCGACGAUCCCUAGCUGGUAUGAGAGGAUGACAAGCCCGACUGGAACUGCGCCACGGUCCAGCCUCCUACGGGAGGCAGCAGUGGGGAAUAUUGCACGAUGUGCGCAAGCCUGAUGCAGCCAUGCCGCGUGUAUGAAGAAGGCCUUCGGGUUGUAAAGUACUUUCAGCGGGGAGGCGUUACCCGCAGAAGAAGCACCGGCUAACUCCGUGCCAGCAGCCGCGGUAAUAC